CGGGGCAGCGCCACACCGUCACCAUCACAUGAGCACUGCUGCUAUGAUCAAAAUGACCAGGACCUCCUGCUGUCUUGUCUCUUGUUGAUCGACCUUCAAAGUGUCAAGAUUACAUGGUGGAAGAUAGCCUUCCACUAUGUACUCCAGCCAGGUUGGGGAUACUUCUUGGACAAUGGAAAAUAAGUCCUAGGAAUGUCACAGGGCCAACACUUGAAGACAUACCAGAGAUGUGUUUUCUGAAGGCAUUUCACUUGGAAGUAUGGCAUAUCUUUGUUCCCAUUCACUUAUGAUCACUCAUUCAAAGCAGCGCUUGAAGAUUAGGACUUUCAAAGAAGAACCAAGAAAAAAAGAAUAAAAGCACACAGUACAAAAACAGAGAUAGUUGUAAUGUCAGUAUUAAAGAAAACCAAUGCACCCAAUCAGUGUCUUUGUAACAUCUCCCAUGGGAAAUUCAGCAUCUCACCCUAAAGUCUAUGCAUUUCAUGUCAGGUCAAGAUUUGUAUGAUCAGGGGCGACUGGGGAUAAAG